rnacentral:rRNA from 1 species
GUUAAGCGACUAAGCGUACACGGUGGAUGCCCUGGCAGUCAGAGGCGAUGAAGGACGUGCUAAUCUGCGAUAAGCGUCGGUAAGGUGAUAUGAACCGUUAUAACCGGCGAUUUCCGAAUGGGGAAACCCAGUGUGUUUCGACACACUAUCAUUAACUGAAUCCAUAGGUUAAUGAGGCGAACCGGGGGAACUGAAACAUCUAAGUACCCCGAGGAAAAGAAAUCAACCGAGAUUCCCCCAGUAGCGGCGAGCGAACGGGGAGCAGCCCAGAGCCUGAAUCAGUGUGUGUGUUAGUGGAAGCGUCUGGAAAGGCGCGCGAUACAGGGUGACAGCCCCGUACACAAAAAUGCACAUGCUGUGAGCUCGAUGAGUAGGGCGGGACACGUGGUAUCCUGUCUGAAUAUGGGGGGACCAUCCUCCAAGGCUAAAUACUCCUGACUGACCGAUAGUGAACCAGUACCGUGAGGGAAAGGCGAAAAGAACCCCGGCGAGGGGAGUGAAAAAGAACCUGAAACCGUGUACGUACAAGCAGUGGGAGCACGCUUAGGCGUGUGACUGCGUACCUUUUGUAUAAUGGGUCAGCGACUUAUAUUCUGUAGCAAGGUUAACCGAAUAGGGGAGCCGAAGGGAAACCGAGUCUUAACUGGGCGUUAAGUUGCAGGGUAUAGACCCGAAACCCGGUGAUCUAGCCAUGGGCAGGUUGAAGGUUGGGUAACACUAACUGGAGGACCGAACCGACUAAUGUUGAAAAAUUAGCGGAUGACUUGUGGCUGGGGGUGAAAGGCCAAUCAAACCGGGAGAUAGCUGGUUCUCCCCGAAAGCUAUUUAGGUAGCGCCUCGUGAAUUCAUCUCCGGGGGUAGAGCACUGUUUCGGCAAGGGGGUCAUCCCGACUUACCAACCCGAUGCAAACUGCGAAUACCGGAGAAUGUUAUCACGGGAGACACACGGCGGGUGCUAACGUCCGUCGUGAAGAGGGAAACAACCCAGACCGCCAGCUAAGGUCCCAAAGUCAUGGUUAAGU